AAGGAUGCCCGGAGUUUCAAAUCUCUAGGGAUAGUUGACUCGACACCUUGCAAGUGAUUCUUGUUGAAACAAUUUAACUGCCAAACACUUAUUUGGGCCUCCAUUAUCCAUUUCUUUCAAAACCCUUUGACCUUUAGCCACGGUACAAGCCAAUAAAAGUCCACGCUGACUGAAGACUGUUUGUCCCAAUCUUUCUCACGAAUUUAACCCUGAAACGAAAUGAUAUGGUGAAUGACGCAAUCACUCAAAAAAAAAAGGGAAAAAAAGAAAACAAAAACACCGAAAAAAUAGAAAAAAAUGUGUGAAGUCUCUCCGUCAAUCAAGAAUCACCAAAUUGGGGCAAUCCCUCCUACCCAAACCUUUCCACUUCUCCAAAUCAAGGUUACUAUGCACAACCAAAUUGGGGCAACCCUUGCGAGCCAUGCAUGCUUAGAUACUAAUGACACCUCCCAAAGUGAGAAAAUUUCAAAUGCUAAUGUUGCCCACAGAUAAUCAUCCCACCAUAUACCUUUCAUACUCAUCUCCUGCACCUUCUCGCGUUCAAGCUAGUUUGAAUUGCAAAAAGCGUUAGAGGGAAUUUGAACCCCUGGUUACGUUUUCUUCCUUUCAUCAAAGAACACACUG
rnacentral:lncRNA from 1 species